AGUGAACGCUGGCGGUAGGCCUAACACAUGCAAGUCGACCGGCAGCACAGUAAGAGCUUGCUCUUACGGGUGGCGAGUGGCGGACGGGUGAGGAAUACAUCGGAAUCUACUUUUUCGUGGGGGAUAACGUAGGGAAACUUACGCUAAUACCGCAUACGACCUACGGGUGAAAGCAGGGGAUCUUCGGACCUUGCGCGAUUGCAUGAGCCGAUGUCGGAUUAGCUCGUUGGCGGGGUAAAGGCCCACCAAGGCGACGAUCCGUAGCUGGUCUGAGAGGAUGAGCAGCCACACUGGAACUGAGACACGGUCCAGACUCCUACGGGAGGCAGCAGUGGGGAAUAUUGGACAAUGGGCGCAAGCCUGAUCCAGCCAUACCGCGUGGGUGAAGAAGGCCUUCGGGUUGUAAAGCCCUUUUGUUGGGAAAGAAAAGCAGCAGGUUAAUACCCCGCUGUUCUGACGGUACCCAAAGAAUAAGCACCGGCUAACUUCGUG
rnacentral:rRNA from 1 species